AGGCAGUCGCGCGGCGGCUCUCCUCCCCGCAGGCAGUCGCGCGGCGGCCUCAUCCCCGCUGGCGAGCCUCCACUCCCCUCCGCCGGAGUCAGGGUUCUCUCAAUUGCGAAUGCUCACUCUUGAGUAAAGGGAUAGGCUAAAGAGCAGCUCCAUCCAGUUCGACGACCAUAGUUUUUGCGAGUGGGUGCACAACCUCAAAUUAGCAAGUACAUGCCUACAUCGUCGACAACUAAAGGCAAUUACUGAGGGAGCUCGGUGGGGAAGACCUAAAGGUGAAGACGCGGAAAAACUCAGGGAGAAGCUGAGGCAGGAGUGCCUGUGGAAGGGGACGGAACUGGCACAUGGGGUGGCUGACGCCCUCUUCGCUGUAUCACCCACCGAGGACCUCGACGGCCCUAUUGUACACCUCCCACCGCCCGCUGUUCGACUCCCGCGCGAGAAGCAUCUUGGUGCUGGGACCUCACUGCCAGGAUUAGUAGCUGCAAAGGUUGGGGCAGAUGUAACACUAACAGACAUCGCGCAGACAUUAUUGUUUCUUUAAUUGCAGGCCACUGGUGCUGUACUACGUGGUCCUGACGUUGCGGGACAGCGUGCACAAGGUCUUCUACGCCGUCGUCGAGGCCGCUGCAGUUCGCGCAGACAACAGCCAUCUUGGAGAUACUUGUGUUGCCACCUUAUCAGGGUGAAGGCUAUGGUCUUGGUCUUCUUGAAGCAAUCAAUUAUAUUGCACAGUCUAAGAACAUUUACGAUGUUACAAUAGAAAGCCCUUCUGAUUCCUUGCAGUAUGUGAGAUCAUCCAUUGACUGCCUCUGUUUGCUCAUGUUUGAUCCGAUCAAACCUGCACUCGGUGCUAUUGUCUCGUCUCUGAAGGAGACCAACCUGUCAAAAAGGGCCCAAAGUUUGAGAAUGGUUCCACCAGCUGACCUGAUGGAGACUAUAUGUCAGAAGCUGAAGAUAAAGAAGAAACAGUUCCUUCGGUGCUGGGAAAUUCUGAUCUUCCUAAGCCUCGACUCUCAGGAUCAUAAGAGCGUGGACAACUUUAGGGCCUGCAUAUAUGACUUCAUGAAGGGGGAGAUCCUUGGCAGUGCCUCUAGAACUAACAGGAAGCGUCUGUUGUAGAUGCCAACCAGUUUCAAUAAGGAGGCAUCUUUUGCUGUGUAUUGGACACAUGAGAUUGGGGAUGAGGAUGAACAAACUGUUGAGCAGCAGCCAGAGGAUCUGAGGACGCAGGAGCAACAGCUCAAUGAGCUCGUGGACAUCCAAAUCGAGGAUAUUGCUGGGGUCGCCAAGAACGUCACUUCACGUGGCAAGGAUAAGAUGGCAGAGCUGGCGGUUCAAUGAAUUUGGGUGAGGUUCCUACUUCAAACGACGUUAAAAUGUUGUCGUAGCUUAUCUGGUGAGGUCUCUUUUACGGGUUGGCUUCUUGGUAGAAAGGGAAUGUCACAGCAUAGGCACUGAGUAGAUUGUCACGGCAGAUUAUUAUGUACUUCAAUUCUGGAAUAUUUGAUGGGAAUGCUAUUUUAGAUUGCUUGGUAAG